rnacentral:rRNA from 1 species
GGUUGCUUGAGAGUGCAGCACUAAGUGGGUGGUAAACUCCAUCUAAAACUAAAUAUAACCAUGAGACCGAUAGUAAACAAGUACCGUGAGGGAAAGUUGAAAAGAACUCUGAAUAGAGAGUUAAAUAGUACGUGAAACUGCUUAGAGGUUAAGCCCGAUGAACCUGAAUAUCCAUUAUAGAAAAUUCAUCAUUAUGAUUUUAAUAUUUGUAAUAUUAUAAUAAUGGUGUGCAUUUUUUCUAUAUAAGGACAUUGUAAUCUAUUAACAUCAAUAUUUAUCAAAAGAUCAUUUGCGAAGGUUUAAUCAAAUUAUUUUGCUUGCAAUUUAACAUAGGUUAAAUGCUUAUGAUUUGAUAAAGUGUUGAUAGAUUUAUUAUAUAUAGUGCUUGAAUAUUUAUAUUCUAUAAUAGCAUAUUAAUUAUUAAUUUUUAUGUUUAUUAUAUGCGCUUAUAUGAUUAACAAUGCGAAAGAUUCAGGAUACCUUCGGGACCCGUCUUNNAAACA